rnacentral:rRNA from 1 species
AAAUUGACUUAGCGGCGGACGGGUGAGUAACGCGUGGGUAACCUGCCUUACACUGGGGGAUAACAGUUAGAAAUAACUGCUAAUACCGCAUAAGCGCACAGGGCCGCAUGGUCUGGUGUGAAAAACUCCGGUGGUGUAAGAUGGACCCGCGUCUGAUUAGGUAGUUGGUGGGGUAACGGCCCACCAAGCCGACGAUCAGUAGCCGACCUGAGAGGGUGACCGGCCACAUUGGGACUGAGACACGGCCCAAACUCCUACGGGAGGCAGCAUG